rnacentral:rRNA from 1 species
AGGGCGCACGGUGGAUGCCUUGGCACUAGAAGCCGAUGAAGGACGUUACUAACGACGAUAUGCUUUGGGGAGCUGUAAGUAAGCUUUGAUCCAGAGAUUUCCGAAUGGGGAAACCCAGCAUGAGUUAUGUCAUGUUAUCGAUAUGUGAAUACAUAGCAUAUCAGAAGGCACACCCGGAGAACUGAAACAUCUUAGUACCCGGAGGAAGAGAAAGAAAAUUCGAUUCCCUUAGUAGCGGCGAGCGAAACGGGAAGAGCCCAAACCAACAAGCUUGCUUGUUGGGGUUGUAGGACACUCUAUACGGAGUUACAAAGGACGACAUUAGACGAAUCAUCUGGAAAGAUGAAUCAAAGAAGGUAAUAAUCCUGUAGUCGAAAAUGUUGUCUCUCUUGAGUGGAUCCUGAGUACGACGGAGCACGUGAAAUUCCGUCGGAAUCUGGGAGGACCAUCUCCUAAGGCUAAAUACUCUCUAGUGACCGAUAGUGAACCAGUACCGUGAGGGAAAGGUGAAAAGCACCCCGGAAGGGGAGUGAAAUAGAACCUGAAACCGUGUGCUUACAAGUAGUCAGAGCCCGUUAAUGGGUGAUGGCGUGCCUUUUGUAGAAUGAACCGGCGAGUUACGAUUUGAUGCAAGGUUAAGCAGUAAAUGUGGAGCCGUAGCGAAAGCGAGUCUGAAUAGGGCGUUUAGUAUUUGGUCGUAGACCCGAAACCAGGUGAUCUACCCUUGGUCAGGUUGAAGUUCAGGUAACACUGAAUGGAGGACCGAACCGACUUACGUUGAAAAGUGAGCGGAUGAACUGAGGGUAGCGGAGAAAUUCCAAUCGAACCUGGAGAUAGCUGGUUCUCUCCGAAAUAGCUUUAGGGCUAGCCUCAAGUGAUGAUUAUUGGAGGUAGAGCACUGUUUGGACGAGGGGCCCCUCUCGGGUUACCGAAUUCAGACAAACUCCGAAUGCCAAUUAAUUUAACUUGGGAGUCAGAACAUGGGUGAUAAGGUCCGUGUUCGAAAGGGAAACAGCCCAGACCACCAGCUAAGGUCCCAAAAUAUAUGUUAAGUGGAAAAGGAUGUGGCGUUGCCCAGACAACUAGGAUGUUGGCUUAGAAGCAGCCAUCAUUUAAAGAGUGCGUAAUAGCUCACUAGUCGAGUGACACUGCGCCGAAAAUGUACCGGGGCUAAACAUAUUACCGAAGCUGUGGAUUGUCCUUUGGACAAUGGUAGGAGAGCGUUCUAAGGGCGUUGAAGCAUGAUCGUAAGGACAUGUGGAGCGCUUAGAAGUGAGAAUGCCGGUGUGAGUAGCGAAAGACGGGUGAGAAUCCCGUCCACCGAUUGACUAAGGUUUCCAGAGGAAGGCUCGUCCGCUCUGGGUUAGUCGGGUCCUAAGCUGAGGCCGACAGGCGUAGGCGAUGGAUAACAGGUUGAUAUUCCUGUACCACCUAUAAUCGUUUUAAUCGAUGGGGGGACGCAGUAGGAUAGGCGAAGCGUGCGAUUGGAUUGCACGUCUAAGCAGUAAGGCUGAGUAUUAGGCAAAUCCGGUACUCGUUAAGGCUGAGCUGUGAUGGGGAGAAGACAUUGUGUCUUCGAGUCGUUGAUUUCACACUGCCGAGAAAAGCCUCUAGAUAGAAAAUAGGUGCCCGUACCGCAAACCGACACAGGUAGUCAAGAUGAGAAUUCUAAGGUGAGCGAGCGAACUCUCGUUAAGGAACUCGGCAAAAUGACCCCGUAACUUCGGGAGAAGGGGUGCUCUUUAGGGUUAACGCCCAGAAGAGCCGCAGUGAAUAGGCCCAAGCGACUGUUUAUCAAAAACACAGGUCUCUGCUAAACCGUAAGGUGAUGUAUAGGGGCUGACGCCUGCCCGGUGCUGGAAGGUUAAGAGGAGUGGUUAGCUUCUGCGAAGCUACGAAUCGAAGCCCCAGUAAACGGCGGCCGUAACUAUAACGGUCCUAAGGUAGCGAAAUUCCUUGUCGGGUAAGUUCCGACCCGCACGAAAGGCGUAACGAUUUGGCACUGUCUCAACGAGAGACUCGGUGAAAUCAUAGUACCUGUGAAGAUGCAGGUUACCCGCGACAGGACGGAAAGACCCCGUGGAGCUUUACUGUAGCCUGAUAUUGAAAUUCGGCACAGCUUGUACAGGAUAGGUAGGAGCCUUUGAAACGUGAGCGCUAGCUUACGUGGAGGCGCUGGUGGGAUACUACCCUAGCUGUGUUGGCUUUCUAACCCGCACCACUUAUCGUGGUGGGAGACAGUGUCAGGCGGGCAGUUUGACUGGGGCGGUCGCCUCCUAAAAGGUAACGGAGGCGCUCAAAGGUUCCCUCAGAAUGGUUGGAAAUCAUUCAUAGAGUGUAAAGGCAUAAGGGAGCUUGACUGCGAGACCUACAAGUCGAGCAGGGUCGAAAGACGGACUUAGUGAUCCGGUGGUUCCGCAUGGAAGGGCCAUCGCUCAACGGAUAAAAGCUACCCCGGGGAUAACAGGCUUAUCUCCCCCAAGAGUUCACAUCGACGGAGGUUUGGCACCUCGAUGUCGGCUCAUCGCAUCCUGGGGCUGUAGUCGGUCCCAAGGGUUGGGCUGUUCGCCCAUUAAAGCGGUACGCGAGCUGGGUUCAGAACGUCGUGAGACAGUUCGGUCCCUAUCCGUCGUGGGCGUAGGAAAUUUGAGAGGAGCUGUCCUUAGUACGAGAGGACCGGGAUGGACAUACCUCUGGUGUACCAGUUGUCGUGCCAACGGCAUAGCUGGGUAGCUAUGUGUGGACGGGAUAAGUGCUGAAAGCAUCUAAGCAUGAAGCCCCCCUCAAGAUGAGAUUUCCCAACUUCGGUUAU